AAACUACAUGCUCAUCCGAUUUCAAUGAUGGCUACACGGAGAUCAAUCAAGAAACCCCUACUAGCUCUUCGGAACUGAAAGAAUGUUCAAAUUCAAGCCUAGUAGCAAAAGCAAAUCAAGAGCCAUCCAAUAACACUGUAAGUAGCUCUUACUCGAAAACAGAACAAAUAUUUUGUGAGCUAAACAACUCUUGUGAUGCGUUAACUUUUGAGCUGAAAAGCGUGGCUAAAGAAAGUUCAGUGUACGAAAAAGAAAAAUUGUUGCUUGAGCAUAAAUUAGAAAUUUUGCAAAAUGAACGUAACAAACACAAGCAACAAAAUCUUGAACUUGUCUUGACAAACGAAUGCUUAGCAUCAAAACUUAUGUCAUCAACAGAGUGUAAGUGUUGCAACGAUCGUCAUAUGAAAAACAAUAUUUUAAAACAACCUGAUGCAAUCCCUACAAAGAAAAAUCAUACCUUAGACUCGAACCAAAAACCAUUUUCAAUCAAAC
rnacentral:lncRNA from 1 species